CCAGGGGUAAUGACUUUGAUAUCUUAUUUGAAGAUAGAAAUACUGGAUUCUACUAAGGAAAUUGGUAUUAACUAGAAGAUGGCUAAAUUACUGGUCUUAGAGCCUACUACCUAUGGACAUCAAAUUGAUGUUGUGCCAUUUCUCUCCUGGAGGCAAUUUUUGAGAUCAUAAAAGUGUGCAAGGGACAUGAAAAUGGGGCCUAGAUGAUUUGGAACUGACAGAAUUUUCAGCUCAUGGAUACUGAGAAAGAACAGAAGCUGUUGGUAUCAAUGGCUGUUUGUUUUUGUGACACUUUGAGUAAUAAAAGC
rnacentral:lncRNA from 1 species